ensembl:lncRNA novel transcript, sense intronic to CCDC102B
CCCAGAGACUGUGAGAUUGCUCUUUCAGCCCAAGUUCCUACUCUCUCAGAACUCCUGAUCAGUCAUUUGUUAAUAGCAACAAUAAUUACUAGGCAUCUACUUAAACAGCAUUUAUUGGAGUAUAAUACAUGUGCAAACAAGAACACAUAUCAUUAGGGUGCAGGUUAAUGAAUUUUUACAAAAUGAGCAUGCCCAUGUAACUGUUUCUUCUGAUGAUCUAGAAACAGAAUAUUGAGGCACCCACAAAACCACCCUUGUCCCUACAACCCUUGUCCCUUUCCAGUGCUCCUUUCCACCCUUCCCCUUUACUGCCUCUACCAGGGGAACCACUCUCCUGACUUCUGACAGGUCAGAUUAGUUUUGAACUUGAUAUCAGUGGAAUAAUACAGGAUGCACUCUUCUGAAUCUGGCUUCUUUCACUCAACAUGAAGCUUGUGAGCUUCAUCCAGAAAAAAUAAAAAAAUAAGAUUCCUGACUCA